rnacentral:tRNA from 1 species
GUUUUGUUAGUAUAUUGCGAGUAUGCUUGUUUUCCAAACAAGAGGUUUAGUAAGAAAUUAAAUAAAAUA